GUAGGUGGCAAGCGUUAUCCGGAAUUAUUGGGCGUAAAGCGCGCGCAGGCGGUUCUUUAAGUCUGAUGUGAAAGCCCACGGCUCAACCGUGGAGGGUCAUUGGAAACUGGAGAACUUGAGUACAGAAGAGGAAAGCGGAAUUCCACGUGUAGCGGUGAAAUGCGUAGAGAUGUGGAGGAACACCAGUGGCGAAGGCGGCUUUCUGGUCUGUAACUGACGCUGAGGCGCGAAAGUGUGGGGAGCAAACAGGAUUAGAUACCCUGGUAGUCCACGCCGUAAACGAUGAGUGCUAAGUGUUAGGGGGUUUCCGCCCCCCUUAGUGCUGCAGCUAACGCAUUAAGCACUCCGCCUGGGAUACGGCCGCAAGGCUG
rnacentral:rRNA from 1 species